ensembl:lncRNA
GCUGCACAACACCUCAUCCACUCAGUGGUAGGUUUUGGUGCUGCACAUGACCUCAUCCACUCAGUGGCAGGUAUUAGUGCUGCACAUCACCUCAUCCACUCACUGGUAGGUAUUAGUGCUGCACAUCACCUCAUCCACUCAGUGGUAGGUUUUGGUGCUGCACAUGACCUCAUCCACUCAGUGGUAGGUAUUGGUGCUGCACAUCACCUCAUCCACUCAGUGGUAGGUAUUGGUGCUGCACAACACCUCAUCCACUCAGUGGUAGGUUUUGGUGCUGCACAACACCUCAUCCACUCAGUGGUAGGUUUUGGUGCUGCACAUGACCUCAUCCACUCAGUGGUAGGUUUUGGUGCUGCACAACACCUCAUCCACUCAGUGGUAGGUUUUGGUGCUGCACAUGACCUCAUCCACUCAGUGGCAGGUAUUAGUGCUGCACAUCACCUCAUCCACUCACUGGUAGGUAUUAGUGCUGCACAUCACCUCAUCCACUCAGUGGUAGGUUUUGGUGCUGCACAUGACCUCAUCCACUCAGUGGUAGGUAUUGGUGCUGCACAUCACCUCAUCCACUCAGUGGUAGGUUUUGGUGCUGCACAUGACCUCAUCCACUCAGUGGUAGGUUUUGGUGCUGCACAACACCUCAUCCACUCAGUGGUAGGUAUUGGUGCUGCAUAUCACCUCAUCCACUCAGUGGUAGGUAUUGGUGCUGCACAUGACCUCAUCCACUCACUGGUACAGUAGGUUAAGCAUUGUUUCUUGCCUUUUUAAAUAUCACAACAGUGCUUUCUUUGAAUAAAGGUUUGGAUGGUCCAAUUUUCAAAGGUCUCUAUCGUUGUUAUUGCAAUGUAGGGCAAACUAAGACACUAACAAAAUUAACAUUUGGCUUCAUUGACAUGUACCCCAUAUAGACAUUGUACUGAAACACAGCUGAUUGAUUGAAACAAUAGGUGGUCGUCUAUACCAGCGGUUCCCAAACUGUGGGGCGGGGCGCCCCGGCGCCCCCGCAGUGGCAGCAUGUGGUCCUCCCCUCUCCAUUUAAAAAUAUAUAUAUAUACGUAUAUAUAGAGAUUUUUUAAAGGAACUCAGUCCAGCUUUAAACUUACUCCUCCUGAAAGUGAUAAUGGUAGAAUGUACAAGGUGACAUUUCUAAAUGGGCUAUGACAUCAUCAGCUCCUCUUGUCAUGUUAGUCAUUGUUCACAUUAGAGAGAUGUUUAUAACUAGUCAGGAAUGUCCAGAUCAAUCAGCCCGUGGCUGUCUUUUUUACUUACUUUUUUUUUUUAGCUCAUAAAUAUUGUUGUAGUUUUUGAGUCACUCAAAUAUCACAUGAAUACACAUUAGACGUGAUCAAAUUUGUAAAUAAUUGCAAGAAAAUUAGCAUUAAAACGACAACAUUUUCCUGUGACAAAAUGUGUAGAAUUGCAGGAAAUACGCUUUAAAUCUGCUAAAUUCUCUCUACCAACAAGCGGGGUGUUAACAGUUUGUGUCAUGAACAGUGCUUGUGCCCAUAGGGGGGACGUUUGGGAACCCCUGAUCUAUAACCAACAACAGAACACAAGGACAAUUUAUUAUUAUUGCAAAUCAAAGACGUGAAAGUCGAUGCCAAACCAUUGUCGACAACCACAAAACCCCCGGAUAGGACAACUGAGGUAUUUCAGAUUAGACUCACACACACACACACACACACACACACACACACACACACACACACACACACACACCCUGCCAUCUUGCUAUAGACAGAUCUAUAAAUUCAAGCCCCGGCUCUGCAUAUACAUACAAUCUGACCAUUAUGUAGAGAUGAAGACACUGUACCAGUUAGGUGAGUUAGUUGAUAUGCCAUCACUUACUGUUCCCACUGUUUAUACCAUAGGACUCUGGAUGGAUGGGUUCUAACCGUUACUGUUCCCACUGUUUAUUCCAUAGGACUCUGGAUGGAUGGGUUCUAACCGUUACUGUUUAUUCCAUAGGACUCUGGAUGGAUGGGUUCUAACCG